rnacentral:rRNA from 1 species
UCCCUCAGUAGCUGCGAGCGAACAGGGAUGAGCCCAGCGCCGAAUUCCGCGUCCGAAAGGGCGUCUGGAACAUGUGGCGUUUAGGAGGAAUCUCUCCGAGGGCAGACGGUGUCGCAAGUCCCCCUGAACGGGGCUGUGAUCCAGAGCGGGUGCGAGGCCCAUAGCUGGUACCGUCUCCUUCGGGUGUCGCCUCCUUGGAGUCGGGUUGCUUGGGAGUGCAGCCCUAAUUGGGUGGUAAACUCCACCUAAGGCUAAAUACGUCCGUGAGACCGAUAGCAAACAAGUACCGUGAGGGAAAGUUGCAAAGAACUUUGAAGAGAGAGUUCAAGAGUACGUGAAACCGCUCAGAGGCAAACGGGUGGGCCCACGAAAGCCGAAGGCGGGGGGAUUCAGUCGAGAGGUCGGCGGGGCAAGACUGGCUGGUCGGACGGACCGUGCCAGGCCGGGUCAGUUCCCGAGAUCCGUCGCCUUUCGACGCACUUCCCUCUGCUUAGUAGGACGCCGCAACCGGUCGGUGCCGCAGCCAUAAGGGAGAGUAUUCGGAAGGUAGCCAGCGAGUUCUUCUUCGGAGGCGCAAGCUGGUCCUAAGCCCGCUCCCCUGGUGCUUGUGGCCCGACCGUGGUCAGAGUCCCUGAACGGGACGUUGCCGAGCCCUCCGUAUGGAGCGGGAGAGGCGGCAGGCUGCUUUCCGUGACGAAAACUGGUUGCUUCACGCGUGCAGUGGGCGACCUUCGGAGGCGGCUGCUGGUACGUCUUCUCCUGCGCCGGGUACAGGCAGUUGGCGGCGAGUAGGUCGGUCACCCACCCGACCCGUCUUGAAACACGGACCAAGGAGUCUAACAUGUGCGCGAGUCAUUGGGUCUCGAAGAAGCCCAAAGGCGCAAUGAAAGUGAAGACUAGCAAUGAAGCUGGUGGAGUUGGGAAACUGCGUCGAUGACGGCGUGGUUGCACCAACGGCCCGUCCCGUCCGCAUCGUCGGUGGGGCGGAGCGAGAGCGUACACGUUGGGACCCGAAAGAUGGUGAACUAUGCCUGGGCAGGACGAAGCCAGAGGAAACUCUGGUGGAGGUCCG